GCCACAAGACAGAAUACUGCUGCUGUGCAGAAAGGGGCUCUCCGUUUCUGAGUGAGGAGCUUCUGGAACAUCCAGAUGGAGACUAGAUUCGUUAGACUGGUGUAUUCCAGGGAACAAGGACCGUUUUCUUUUGCGAACAUGCAUUCUGUCACUCACUCAGUUCUUCUGAUCAUCUUAAUAUUCAGAGGGACCAAUGGUGACUCCGUGAACCAGACAGAAGGCCCAGUGACUGUCUCAGAGGGGGCUCUCAUGACCCUGAACUGCACUUACCAGGCCACAUAUUCGGAUCCCUAUCUUUUCUGGUAUGUCCAGCAUCUUAACAAAGCUCCUCAACUCCUCCUGAAGGGCUUCACAGCAGACAAGACGGUAGAGCAUGAAGGUUUUCAGGCCACUCUUGUUAAGAGGGACAGCUCCUUCCACCUGCAGAAACAGGCAGUGCAAGCAUCAGACUCGGCUGUGUACUACUGUGCUCUGAGUGACACAGUGAUGGAGGGCGGCAGGGGGAGCUGAGCGCAAACCCAAGGGGAGCAGGAGGCUGACGUCAGGAAGAGGCAUAUUCUCUCCUUGAUCAGAGUUUAGUGUACAUUAAAGUUUUUCAGGAAAACCGAUCAAACUCAGGUCUAAUCCUAGAAACUCAGAGGGUUGGGAAUUGCUCUACAGGGAAAAUAGGGUGGAUGUCAGUCUUAAAGAAGACCCAAGCUCCAAUCCCCAGAAGCACCCCUGUUCAUCCAGAAAGAUUCCUCUCUACUCUAGGCUGACUUUCCAAAAAAAAAAAUCUAUUUUUCUUAUAAUGUAAAAUGGAUAUUAUACGUCACAAAUUAGUAGUUCAUUUAGAGAAAAGAAAUAAAUGAUUAAAAGCUGCAUCACCUGAAUCAUAAUCAUAAACCAACACAGAGGUACCAGGCAAAUCACAUAGCAGUCUGUGUGUGGCUGAGACCUAACGUUAUUGAGGUGUUGUUUGCAGUGAAAGCCUUUGAACGGAGCUGCUGCAGCCGUGGGAUGAAAAAGCGUUUGUGACUUUUGA